rnacentral:rRNA from 1 species
CAGUCGCCACGGUAAGACGGAGGGUGCUAGCGUUGUUCGGAAUCACUGGGCGUAAAGGGCGCGUAGGCGGCCUGUUAAGUCGGAUGUGAAAGCCCGGGGCUCAACCCCGGAACUGCAUCCGAGACUGGCAGGCUUGAGACCGGGAGAGGAGGGUGGAAUAUCCAGUGUAGAGGUGAAAUUCGUAGAUAUUGGAUGGAACACCGGUGGCGAAAGCGGCUCUCUGGCCCGGAUCUGACGCUGAGGCGCGAAAGCGUGGGGAGCAAACAGGAUUAGAGACCCGAGUAGUCCCUGUCUCUUAUAC